CAGUAGCCGCGGGAAUACGGAGGGUGCAAGCGUUAAUCGGAAUUACUGGGCGUAAAGCGUGCGUAGGCGGUUACUCAAGUCAGAGGUGAAGGCCCGGGGCUCAACCCCGGAACUGCCUUUGAAACUAGGUGACUAGAAUCUUGGAGAGGUCAGUGGAAUUCCGAGUGUAGAGGUGAAAUUCGUAGAUAUUCGGAAGAACACCAGUGGCGAAGGCGACUGACUGGACAAGUAUUGACGCUGAGGUGCGAAAGCGUGGGGAGCAAACAGGAUUAGAUACCCGAGUAGUCCCUGUCUCUUAUAC
rnacentral:rRNA from 1 species